UACGGAGGGGGCUAGCGUUGUUCGGAAUUACUGGGCGUAAAGAGCGCGCAGGCGGUUUGAGAAGUCAGAUGUGAAAGAGGCCGGCUUAACCGGCAAGGGUCAUUUGAAACUGACAGACUAGAGUACAGCAGAGGAUAGCGGAAUUCCCGGUGUAGUGGUGAAAUGCGUAGAUAUCGGGAAGAACACCCGUGGCGAAGGCGGCUCUCUGGGCCGAUACUGACGCUGAGGAGCGAAAGCGUGGGGAGCGAACAGG
rnacentral:rRNA from 1 species